GUCCGGGAGAGACCCGUCGCCGGCCGGCAUACGGGAACCGAAGGGGCAAAACUCUCAGGUAAAAGAACCGGGCA
rnacentral:ncRNA from 1 species